rnacentral:tRNA from 1 species
GCCCUGGUAGCUCAGUUGGUAGAGCAGAGGAUUGAAAAUCCUUGUGUCGGUGGUUCAAAUCCGCCCCAGGGCACCA